UACGUAGGGGGCAAGCGUUGUCCGGAAUCAUUGGGCGUAAAGCGCGCGUAGGCGGCCCGGUAAGUCCGUUGUGAAAGUCAAAGGCUCAACCUUUGAACGCCGAUGGAUACUGCCGGGCUAGAGUCCGGAAGAGGCGAGUGGAAUUCCUGGUGUAGCGGUGAAAUGCGCAGAUAUCAGGAGGAACACCGGUGGCGAAGGCGG
rnacentral:rRNA from 1 species